UACCUCAAAAUUCCGCAACAGUCUGUUUCAUCAGUAAAGAAUCAUCAGGCAGUAUCCUGAUGAUUCUUUACUGAUGAAACAGACUGUUGCGGAAUUU